rnacentral:rRNA from 1 species
AGAUUAGCUAGUUGGUGGGGUAAUGGCCUACCAAGGCCGCGAUCUGUAGCUGGUUUGAGAGGACGACCAGCCACACUGGGACUGAGACACGGCCCAGACUCCUACGGGAGGCAGCAGUGGGGAAUUUUGGACAAUGGGGGCAACCCUGAUCCAGCCAUCCCGCGUGUGCGAUGAAGGCCUUCGGGUUGUAAAGCACUUUUGGCAGGGAAGAAAAGGCGCAGGCUAAUACCCUGUGCUGCUGACGGUACCUGCAGAAUAAGCACCGGCUAACUACGUGCCAGCAGCCGCGGUAAUACGUAGGGUGCAAGCGUUAAUCGGAAUUACUGGGCGUAAAGCGUGCGUCGGCGGUUUGGCAAGAAAGGUGUGAAAUCCCAG